UAUAAACCCAAAUGUGCCCAGGCCCAAUCUAAUACCCAUUUUACAUUAUAAUACUCAGGCCCAAACCAACAAACAAUACAGACCUCAGCCCAAAACUAAAAAGCAAAAAAGAAAACCCUAGCAGCACUAUGCGCCCUAGCCACAGCAGCCUCCGCGCCUCCAGCAGACGUCCCAAGCGCCGCACGUCUCGGGGCCGAUCCUCCCUAUGUGCGCACGUACACCUGCAAACACGGACUCAAAAGAGUCCAAAAUAAAAGAAACAGGGAAAAACGGCACUGGUUUUUGAUUUUUCGGGCUAUAUAAGGCCGACUUUUAUUCUGUAAUAUGGGGGUUUUUGGGGACAAAAGAGAAUACAGAGGAAAAAAAAAGGAUUUGAAAGAGCAGAUCCAAUAAUUUUUGAAAUAAAAAAGGUCUUUUUUUUAUUUUUGUUCAGGGCAUCAUUCUUAAUGAUUCAUUUUUUUAUUUAUUUUUUCGCUUAAAUACCAAAAAGAAAAAAGGGAGACUUACCUUUUGCCGGAGUCGUCGAGCUGGUGUCCCCUCCGACGAAAUUGGGGCGUGGGCUGAACGGCGGCCAAAGGGUUAGGAAACCCCAAAAGAAGCAGUUUCUGCUUCAAAGGGAAGGACCAAAAUUUGUUUUUUAAAACUUCAAGCUGGGCAAUGAUGGCACUGUUUAGUUUGGGAGUUCACGCAUAUCAAUCCUUAAUGGGGAAAUUGCGCGCCUAGCCCUUCCUCUUUUGCUACAUGUUUCAAUCAAGUUUUUUUAUUUUUAAAUUCGGCCUAAAUAUUUUGCUCGCGUGACGAUUUAAUCCAUGUCACGCUCUUUUUAUUUUGAUUUUGGCCCAAAAACUUUGUGUGAUUUCGAUCUAGUUCCUUAUUUGUAAUUUGUUAUUUUCAAAUUAAUUGUUUUAUUAUUGUCCUCGUUAUUAUCUAGUAUCAUCAUUAUAUCAUCGUCAUUCUUGUCAUAAUCAUCACAUUUAUGCAUUCUUUUUACAAUAUACGUAUUUUACAUUUUAUAUUAUAUGUAUAUAUAUAUAUUAUUCAUGUUAUUUUAUAGUAUAUACAUUUCAUAAUAUUUAUACAUUUUCUAUGAUAUACAUGCAUUUUUUUUUAUCUUUUAAAAUUAUUAUAAAUAUAUUUUAUUUCUUUCCUAUAUCCCAUUAUUAUAUAUACAUAAAUGUAGUUGAAUAUAUAUGUAUGUAAAUUUUCAUGAUUUGCCUAUUUAUAUAUACUUAUACAUUUUAUUUUUCUAUUUUGUAAAUAUAUAUACAUAUACAUACAUUUUUUAUUUUUUUUUACUUUUAUAUACUUUAUAUUAUAUACAUAUAUAUAUGCUUAUACAUUUUUUUCUUUGUAAAUAUAUACACAUAUGCAUAUCUUUAUACUUUUAUUUUAUUUUUACGAUUUUCAUACUCAUACAUACAUGCAUUUUUUUCAUCUUUUUAUAUGUAUCAUUGUAUAUGUGCAUUAAAUAUAUGUGUACACAUGUUUGCAAAUUUACUGGUAUAUUGUAUUUAUAUAUAUAUUUGCAAAUAUUUAUUCGUAUAUGCUGUAAAUUAAAGGAUCUGUAUCAUAUUGUAUAUUAACUUUCUUGCUCUUUCUAAAUACAAGAGAAUAAAUUCACAAAAGCAAAUUCCCAUUUUCAUUUGAUCAUUUGGGUAUUUUUUGCUUUUAUUAUUCUCUGGGGGGUUAGGGGUUUUGAUUCCAUGGCUGCAGUGGCUGAUAAUUCAGGCGAGGCAGCAGUAGCUAAUGGAAACAACAAUUUGGUUGUUGAAACAUCCAAAUCAGAAUCAAAGGAAUUCAAUGUGCAAAAGCUUGUUGAUAUGUUCACAAAGUUGAAUCCUUUAGCCAAAGAAUUUUUCCCAUCAUCUUAUCAUCAUAAUCCCACCAAAACUGGUGAUUUUAAUCAGGCUCCUGUUAAUAAGCAAGGCAAUGAGAAUUUCCCCAAUGGAAGGAGAAGAAAUAACUACAACCAGGGUAGAAGAAAGCUUAAUGGGAAAGCUUUUCGUGCUCAAAAGGUCUUUUUUUUUUUUUUUUAAAUGCAUGUAUAUCAUAGAAAAUGUAUAAAUAUUAUGAAAUGUAUAUACUAUAAAAUAACAUGAAUAUAUAUAUAUACAUAUAAUAUAAAAUGUAAAAUACGUAUAUUGUAAAAAGAAUGCAUAAAUGUGAUGAUUAUGACAAGAAUGACGAUGAUAUAAUGAUGAUACUAGAUAAUAACGAGGACAAUAAUAAAACAAUUAAUUUGAAAAUAACAAAUUACAAAUAGGGAACUAGAUCGAAAUCACACAAAGUUUUUGGGCCAAAAUCAAAAUAAAAAGAGCGAAAAGGGACCGAAUCACAAUGCGCGUGAAAGGAAGGGGACCAAAAAAGAAAUUUUCCCAAGUUGCUGAAGCACUGUGCAGUGACAUGGAUUAAAUCGUCACGCGAGCAAAAUAUUUAGGCCGAAUUUAAAAAUAAAAAAACUUGAUUGAAACAUGUAGCAAAAGAGGAAGGGCUAGGCGCGCAAUUUCCCCAUUAAGGAUUGAUAUGCGUGAACUCCCAAACUAAACAGUGCCAUCAUUGCCCAGCUUGAAGUUUUAAAAAACAAAUUUUGGUCCUUCCCUUUGAAGCAGAAACUGCUUCUUUUGGGGUUUCCUAACCCUUUGGCCGCCGUUCAGCCCACGCCCCAAUUUCGUCGGAGGGGACACCAGCUCGACGACUCCGGCAAAAGGUAAGUCUCCAUUCUUUCUUUUUUGUAUUUUAAGCGAAAAAUAAAUAAAAAAAUGAAUCACUAAGAAUGAUGAACCGGAAAAAAAUAAAAAAAAGACCUUUUUUAUUUCAAAAAUUAUCGGAUCUGCUAUUUCAAUUCCUUUUUUUUCCUCUGUAUUCUCUUUUGUCCCCAAAAACCCCCCAUAUUACAGAAUAAAAGUCGGCCUUAUAUAGCCCGAAAAAUCAAAAACCAGUGCCGU
rnacentral:lncRNA from 1 species